rnacentral:rRNA from 1 species
GACGAACGCUGGCGGCGUGCUUAACACAUGCAAGUCGAACGAUGAAGCUGGAGCUUGCUCCGGUGAAUUAGUGGCGAACGGGUGAGUAACACGUGGGCAAUCUGCCCUUGACUCUGGGAUAACUGCGGGAAACUGUAGCUAAUACCGGAUACGAGGCCUGGGGGCAUCCCUGGGCCUGGAAAGAAUUUCGGUCAAGGAUGAGCUCGCGGCCUAUCAGCUAGUUGGUGAGGUAAUGGCUCACCAAGGCGACGACGGGUAGCCGGCCUGAGAGGGUGACCGGCCACACUGGGACUGAGACACGGCCCAGACUCCUACGGGAGGCAGCAGUGGGGAAUAUUGCACAAGGGGCGCAAGCCUGAUGCAGCAACGCCGCGUGAGGGACGAAGGCCUUCGGGUUGUAAACCUCUUUUAGCAGGGAAGAAGCGAAAGUGACGGUACCUGCAGAAAAAGCACCGGCUAACUACGUGCCAGCCGCCGCCGUAA